rnacentral:rRNA from 1 species
GAUGAACGCUGGCGGCGUGCCUAAUACAUGCAAGUCGAGCGAACAGACGAGGAGCUUGCUCCUCUGACGUUAGCGGCGGACGGGUGAGUAACACGUGGAUAACCUACCUAUAAGACUGGGAUAACUUCGGGAAACCGGAGCUAAUACCGGAUAAUAUAUUGAACCGCAUGGUUCAAUAGUGAAAGACGGUUUUGCUGUCACUUAUAGAUGGAUCCGCGCCGCAUUAGCUAGUUGGUAAGGUAACGGCUUACCAAGGCAACGAUGCGUAGCCGACCUGAGAGGGUGAUCGGCCACACUGGAACUGAGACACGGUCCAGACUCCUACGGGAGGCAGCAGUAGGGAAUCUUCCGCAAUGGGCGAAAGCCUGACGGAGCAACGCCGCGUGAGUGAUGAAGGUUUUCGGAUCGUAAAACUCUGUUAUUAGGGAAGAACAAAUGUGUAAGUAACUAUGCACGUCUUGACGAUACCUAAUCAGAAAGCCACGGCUAACUACGUG